rnacentral:miRNA from 8 species
ACUGCUACUCUGGUGCUUAACA